UACGUAGGUGGCAAGCGUUAUCCGGAUUUAUUGGGCGUAAAGGGAACGCAGGCGGUCUUUUAAGUCUGAUGUGAAAGCCUUCGGCUUAACCGGAGUAGUGCAUUGGAAACUGGGAGACUUGAGUGCAGAAGAGGAGAGUGGAACUCCAUGUGUAGCGGUGAAAUGCGUGGAUAUAUGGAAGAACACCAGUGGCGAAAGCGGCUCUCUGGUCUGUAACUGACGCUGAGGUUCGAAAGCGUGGGUAGCAAACAGG
rnacentral:rRNA from 1 species